rnacentral:lncRNA from 1 species
CAAUAUUUUUUGAUAUAGAUUAGGCUAUAUAUGAUUAGUGGACAAUAUUUUAGAAUUAGAGCCAAAAUUCUAGUGGCCACAGACUACAAAACCAGUUAAAUACCGCUUCUUAUGGAAGUCUUAACAAGGUUUAUUUCUUUCUGGGCUUACAAUGGUAAUCAUUUAUGCUUGGUGAGAAUGCAAUUUGUUAAUGAAUGGACUCGAGCAUUUUAACAGCCUAGAUAAUCAAUUUUUAUUCAGAUGGUGUUACUUUCCUAGAGUUAUUUGCAACACAAACAACAAAACAUGUCAUAAUAAAUAAAACAGUACAUCAUUAAGUUUUUGGUGGAAAAAUGUUUGGCUCAGGUUUUUUUCUUACGACAGUAAUGCUUGCUAUAAAAGUCUAAUAAUAUAGAAAUGUGGAAAGUCAAAUGUGAAAGUCUCCCUUCACGAAUCUCACAGUCAACCAUUAAUAAUUAGAUUUCUAUCCUUUAACAUUUUUUUCUACGUACAUACAGGCAUUUGAAAUAAAGGAACCCUUUAUGUUAUUUCUGUUACAGAACCAGGAAGAUCCUGAUAAAGACACUGUCUGCACUCCACUCAGAUGCCCUUUGAGUCUAUGCGCUGUUUCUGGGCUCAUCCUCCAGCCUCAAUGUGUUUGCUGACACACAGCAUGUCCUGUGGGACUGGAGAAAUAUGGAGAAUGCAGCACACUUGCUUCCUACUGAAAUGUGUAAAAUUGCUCUGAAGACAUUCAAUGACAGCCAGCCUCCUUAAAAGAUGUGUUUAAAAGUGGAAGACUUACACAGUUGCAGAACAUAAGAAAACAGAAAAAAAAAUUGGAAGACCAUGAUACUCAACAACUUAGUGAAUCCAAGAAGCAUUUUAUGGUAUGUACUCCUUGAGAGAGGUUAGGUUAUGCUGCAAACAUACA